GCUAAAUCAAGAAAAGUUCACUAGGUUUUUAGAAGAAAUAUAAUGCCUAUGCAUAUCAUUAUGUCAGGAUGAUAGC